UACGUAGGUGGCGAGCGUUAUCCGGAAUGAUUGGGCGUAAAGGGUGCGUAGGCGGAUCGUUAAGUCAGUGGUCAAAUUGAGGGGCUCAACCCCUUCCCGCCAUUGAAACUGGCGUUCUUGAGUGGAAGAGAAGUAUGCGGAAUGCGUGGUGUAGCGGUGAAAUGCAUAGAUAUCACGCAGAACUCCGAUUGCGAAGGCAGCAUGCCGGCUCCACACUGACGCUGAGGCACGAAAGCGUGGGUAUCGAACAGG
rnacentral:rRNA from 1 species